UACGUAGGGUCCGAGCGUUGUCCGGAAUUAUUGGGCGUAAAGGGCUCGUAGGCGGUUCGUCACGUCGGGAGUGAAAACUCGGGGCUUAACCCCGAGCCUGCUUCCGAUACGGGCAGACUAGAGGUAGGCAGGGGAGAGCGGAACUCCUGGUGUAGCGGUGGAAUGCGCAGAUGUCAGGAGGAACACCGGUGGCGAAGGCGGCUUGCUGGGCCUUACCUGACGCUGAGGAGCGAAAGCGUGGGGAGCGAACAGG
rnacentral:rRNA from 1 species